UUUUAAUAUUAAUAUUAAGAGCUCAUCUUAAUUUUACACAUUUUCGAAAGUUUUGAGCCUGUUUUUCAGUUUAAAAAGAAGGUUGCCUCAGAAUGACACACCCUAAUAUACAUAUAACUAAUAAGGAAGGCUUAAGUUCUAGAACAUACAUACAUGGGCGUUUUGACUCACAUGAGCAGUUACUCUCAGCACACGUAUUCUUACGCUCUUAUUUCAGUCGCUGUUGAGAGCGAAAAAAACCAUUUUUGCACUGUGGGAUAAUGAAUUGAUUUUCCUGCCAGUUGCGCUGCAGACAGCAACGAGGUAACAUAGGUAGUCGGUAUGUUGAUGUUUUUUUAUGCCCUAGUAUAUUUUUGCCCCAUUUGAAAUGUAUAACAUAAAUAAAAUGUUAUAAUUUCAGAUACCUUUGGUGGGGUAAAUUGGGAGUUGACUACUUUUACUAGCAAACUAGUUAGCGGAAAUUUUAAGAUAAAGUUGAAAUUGUGAAGUUCUCGAUUUUUUUUUUUUUUUAACAUAUUAUCUCUCUCAAUACCCUCAUAUUUCUCAAAGUAUUUAUGGAAGGUAUUAUAGUGCCUCCUAAAAUUAUACCUAUGCCCGGGUCCCCUUUACACACAUAUUACACAAUAGACAUUGCAUAUUACCAAAGGCAUCGGAAAUCAUAAAGCAAUAUUUGUCAUUCAUUUUGAACAAACACAUAUAGGUACGCGCAUAAAUAGUAUCAUAAAACAAUCAAGCGGCGACGAUGUUGCUUCGCUGUUGUUUGUUAAUCAACUGACUGCAAAUGUUCUUUGUCCCAUGGUGGCCACUUUACGCUCGCGGUUACCAAUACACCCAUACAUUUCAUUUGCCCAUCGCUGUUCUAGAAUCUAGAAUAACCGAACAUUUCAUACUCAUGCAACCUUCAAGAAUGUAAGCAGGAGUAUACAUAUGUAUGCAAGUUUUCACCCGAUUUUAUUCAUUCUAAGCACAAAGGUGCACCGUUAUAAGAAAACAAGCUCUCUUAAUUUUAUUAAAAUAACUUACAUAUUCGCCAAUAUGUGUAUGCGGUAUAAAGUCACCCGGAAGUUCAAAAAUCUUUACAUUUGGUAUAUGGGAGAUAAGGUAAAUAUUGACCCGCUUUAACCCUUUUUUAACAUACAGACAUACUAUUAUAAGGAAAUAAUUCUCUCCAAUUUUCAAUUAUACAUCGCACAUUGAUCGAUAUUUUGGUGAAAAAUCAACUAUAAGCACUGUGGUUUUAACAGUACUGUGCGAGUUACGAGCUGAACACAAGCUUUGCAAAUCUUGAUCACGUAUCUACAUACAUAUGUAUAUAGAAACUUUUGCCGUCGAAUCGCAGAAUAUGUUAGACAAUAGGGGUAUUCAGACCAGCCUUGUUAAUUCGUUAGUCGUUAGUUCGGUAGUUUUUACAUGUAUUUUGUUUUUGUAAAAUUAACAGACUAUCGUUUUACCGAGUAACGAACUAUCCAGCUGGCAAGCUUGAUAAUUGUUUCGUUACUCGGUAAUAUCACAUCAGCUGUUUGUUUGUUGUUCGUUGCUUUAUUCAUUUUCAACGGAAAAAUAAGUCUGGCGUUCGUUGCUUAUUUUUAAAGGGAAAAAUAAAUUUGGUGCACACUCGUGAGUUUGGAAAAAUUUUGCAAAAUGGAACCUCAAAAGAAAAUACGCAAGAGGGCAAAGCCUAAAAAAAAAUGGAAAACCAAACGCCCAAUUGUACUACAAAAAACUAGUUGAAACAACAAAUAUCGAUGCGACUACGGACAUGUUGCGCUGCAAGGUACUGGAAGCAGAUGUAUAAUAAAGCUGAGGAGUGGCGCAAAUCGACUGGUUCUGGAAUAGACGUUGGCGAUGAUGUUUCCUUAAUAAAAGCAAAACUUUCACAAAUGUGUCCGAAUUAUGAACGGUUUUCGGUUCUAUUUGGGAGUAAAUCCGAAGCCAAUUGUGUUUUAGAGACGUACAACCCUGAAGUGUCACAAUACUGCAGCGAUUUUGCAGACCUUGUAGAGGUAGUGGAAAUUCCAACCGAACCAUCACAAUCAUCUGCGAAACCAUCGGGUUCACUUAACGACAAAGCAGAACAGACAACAAUAGGAGCAGAGGUAGCAACAGAUCCUCCUACCACUCCGUCGCUCCUCGAAAAAGUGAAAUAACGCACUCCAAAGAAUAUUCUUAGUGAACUUAAAGAUAUACAAAAGAAGAGAACAGUUUUUUUUAACAACGAAUAGAAAUUGAAAAAGAAAAGUUAAAUUUGGAAAAGUUAAAGCUAGAAUUGGACAGAGAAAAGUUAAAUAAAGAUUUUGAAAUAAAAAAAAUUGGAGUUCGAGCAAAAAGAAAGACUGGCGAUGAUUGAACUAAAGUGCAAAUAUAAUAUGUAACAAUUUUAUAUGUAUGUUUUGUAUAAUAAUUUUUAAGAAUAUACAAAUGUAUCUAAAUGUGAUAACUUGAAGUAC